rnacentral:rRNA from 1 species
UACGGAGGAUCCAAGCGUUAUCCGGAUUUAUUGGGUUUAAAGGGUGCGUAGGUGGCCCUGUAAGUCAGUGGUGAAAUAUCUCAGCUUAACUGAAAGGGUGCCAUUGAUACUGCAGGGCUUGAGUACAGAUGAGGUAGGCGGAAUUGACGGUGUAGCGGUGAAAUGCAUAGAUAUCGUCAAGAACACCGAUAGCGAAGGCAGCUUACCAAGCUGUAACUGACACUGAGGCACGAAAGUGUGGGGAUCAAACAGG